UAUUUUAAUAAUUUAUUCAAAUCUUUCUUUGCAAAGGUGUCCUCGUGGCAAAAGGUGACGUAGGAACAGGGACAAUAGUGGGAUCUGCAGUUUUUAAUGUUUUAUUUGUCAUCGGAAUAUGCGGAAUAUUUUCUGGAAGAGAAGUUAAUUUGUCAUGGUGGCCAAUUAUCCGUGAUUCCGUCUUUUAUUCAUUCACAGUAGUGGUCUUAAUUCUUAUUAUUUAUGAUAGCACCGUCACGUGGUACGAAUCGAUAAGCAUGCUAAUCAUCUACGCCUUCUAUAUCUUAUUGAUGAAGUUCAACACUCAAGUACACUUCUGGAUCUCUAGAAGACUCGGGAUCGAAGACGAACUUACUGCUUCUCUGGGCAUUCUGUCACAAACGCAUGACAAUAAGUGUUACAGCUCUUAUGGUAAUGAAAUGUCUAAUUUAAUUAUCAUAUUUUUGGCUAUUUUUGGAUCGAUUAGUUUUAAUGUGUAUCAAAAGUUUAAA